rnacentral:sRNA from 2 species
UUCAACAAGACAAGCGGCCACGCUGGGGAAGCAUCGACUCUGGGUGUCGCCUUUCUUCUUUCACCUCAAUAUUUAGGUUAUUCGAAUAAGAUACGGUAGGCAGGAGACAGUAAAACAGCCCUGAAACAGCAACUCCGGCAAACGAGAAAAAGCAACACCUCUUGAAUAUGGAAAUGUCCAUGACAUGCAUAGUUAUAGCCAUCAGACCUGAGUGUGUAUCUAUGCUUUGGAGACGGACGACACAAAGAGGCAACGGAAGUGCGAAACUUGUUGCAGUCCUUAGCUAAGGACUCCUGAAGAGAACUGACAAAGAAGCAUUGGGACGGGAGGCGAAGAGUCCUCCGGAUAAAAAUACCAAAGAGCAACGGAGCAAGACAUUCUCCCUUGACACGGGAAAAGUAGUAAUAAAGAGAACCCCGCCAAUCAUCAUAGAACUGAUAUUCUUCAACUUUUUGUUGCCUUUUGAAACCCGCACUCCAUUGUCCCUGGAUGCAGCAUCAUGGCCGAGGACGGACGCGUUGCAUCGUUUAGACUUGGGAGGAAAGUAACAAGCAGAUGCUGAGAUCGUUCUUUGAUCAAAGCCUCUUUAUGCACAUAGAUUAUCUAGGCUGGGAG